rnacentral:rRNA from 1 species
GACGAACCGUGCGAACGUUAUUCGGAAUCACUGGGCUUAAAGGGCGCGUAGGCGGGUUCUCAAGUCAGGGGUGAAAUCCCCGCGGCUCAACCGUGGAAGUGCCUUUGAUACUGGGGACCUCGAGGGAGGUAGGGGCGUGCGGAACUUCCGGUGGAGCGGUGGAAUGCGUAGAUAUCGGAAGGAACACCGGUGGCGAAAGCGGCGCGCUGGACCUCUUCUGACGCUGAGGCGCGAAAGCCAGGGGAGCAAACGGG